GAUGAACGCUGGCGGCGUGCCUAAUACAUGCAAGUCGAGCGAACGGACGAGAAGCUUGCUUCUCUGAUGUUAGCGGCGGACGGGUUAGUAACACGUGGAUAACCUACCUAUAAGACUGGGAUAACUUCGGGAAACCGGAGCUAAUACCUGAUGAUAUUUUGAACCGCAUGGUUCAAAAGUGAAAGACGGUCUUGCUGUCACUUAUAGAUGGAUCCGCGCUGCAUUAGCUAGUUGGUAAGGUAACGGCUUACCAAGGCAACGAUGCAUAGCCGACCUGAGAGGGUGAUCGGACACACUGGAACUGAGGCACGGUCAAGACUCCGACGGGAGGCAGCAGUAGGGAAUCUUCCGCAAAGGGCGAAAGCCUGACGGAGCAACGCCGCGUGAGUGAUGAAGGUCUUCGGAUCGUAAAACUCUGUUAUUAGGGAAGAACAUAUGUGUAAGUAACUGUGCACAUCUUGACGGUACCUAAUCAGAAAGCCACGGAUAACUACGUG
rnacentral:rRNA from 1 species